CAGGCUUAGCGAACGGCUUCUUGAAGGGAAAGCUGUAUCUCUGUGAGAUGAAUUAACAGAAGACUAAGCAGUUUCUCAGAAAGCCUCUUUCCAGAUUUCAUCUGAGGAUAUUUCCUUUUUCACCAUAGCCCUCUAUGGGCAUCAAAUAUCACUUUGCCAUUUCCACAAGAAUAGGCUUAGCGAAAGGCUUCUUGAGGACAAAGCUGUAACUCUGAGAUGAUUUCACAGAACACAAAGAAGUUUCUCAGAAAGCUUCUUUCUCUUUGUUAUCGGAGGAUAUUUCCUUUGGCCCUAGUCUUCAAAGGGAUCCGAAAUAUCCUUUCUCAAACUCCACAGAAAUAAGGCUAACAAACAGAUCCACCAAAUAGAGAUGUAACUCUGUGAGUGGAAGUCACACAUCACAAAGCAGUUUCUCAGAAAGUUUCUUUCCACUUUUUCUCGAAGGAUAAUUUCUUUUUUCACCAUAGCCCUCUGUGGGCUUCCAAAUAUCACUUUGCCAAUUCCACAAGAACAGGCUUAGCGAACGGCUUCUUGAGGGGAAAGCUGUAACUCUGUGAGAUGAAUUAACAGAACACUAAGCAGUUUCUCAGAAACUUUAUUUCAAGAUUUCAUCUGAGGAUAUUUCCUUUUUCACCAUAGCCUCCUAUGGGCAUCGAAAUAUCACUUUACCAAUUACACUAGAACAGGCUUAGCGAAAGGCUUCAUUAUGGAAAA
rnacentral:lncRNA from 1 species